rnacentral:rRNA from 1 species
ACAGAAUGACAGAUGGUGCAUGGUUGUCGUCAGCUCGUGUCGUGAGAUGUUAGGUUAAGUCCUGCAACGAGCGCAACCCUUUUCUUUAGUUACUAAUAUUAAGUUAAGGACUCUAGAGAUACUGCCUGGGUAACCAGGAGGAAGGUGGGGACGACGUCAAAUCAUCAUGCCUCUUACGAGUGGGGCAACACACGUGCUACAAUGGUCGGUACAAAGAGAAGCAAUAUGGUGACAUGGAGCAAAUCUCAAAAAACCGAUCUCAGUUCGGAUUGAAGUCUGCAACUCGACUUCAUGAAGUCGGAAUCGCUAGUAAUCGUAGAUCAGCUACGCUACGGUGAAUACGUUCUCGGGUUUUGUACACACCGCCCGUCGCACCAUGGGAGUUGGUAAUGCCCAAAGUCGGUGAGUUAACUUCGGAGACCAUUGCCUAAGGCAGGACUGAUGACUGGGGUAAAGUCGUAACAAGGUAUCCCUACGAGAACGUGGGGAUGGAACACCUCCUUUCUACGGAG